UCAUUACAAACAGAAAUGUUAGUUGCUGCACUUUGUGUUAGAGUUCUGCACUUUACUCUUGUUACUGCAAUUUUUUUUUUGAAGAAUAAAAAUCCAUGCAUUUUGAAUGUUAAAAAUUGUGAAAACAAGUACAACAAACGUUAAUUGCUACAAUAUAUGUUACUUUGUUUUGUAAAUGUAAAAAAAUGUUCAUAUGAUGCAGCGUAUGAUGAAAAUUCAUAAUUACAGUGUGGCCCCCAGUAGUGUUGGGGG